UACAGAGGGUGCAAGCGUUGUUCGGAAUUAUUGGGCGUAAAGCGCGUGUAGGCGGCUUUGCAAGUCGCGUGUGAAAGCCCCCGGCUCAACUGGGGAGGGUCACGCGAUACUGUUCGACUCGAAGGCAGGAGAGGGAAGUGGAAUUCCCGGUGUAGUGGUGAAAUGCGUAGAUAUCGGGAGGAACACCAGUGGCGAAGGCGACUUCCUGGCCUGUUCUUGACGCUGAGGCGCGAAAGCUAGGGUAGCAAACGGG
rnacentral:rRNA from 1 species